UACGGAGGAUCCAAGCGUUUAUCCGGAUUUAUUGGGUUUAAAGGGUGCGUAGGCGGCCUAUUAAGUCAGGGGUGAAAGACGGUAGCUUAACUAUCGCAGUGCCUUUGAUACUGAUGGGCUUGAAUGUACUUGAGGUAGGCGGAAUGUGACAAGUAGCGGUGAAAUGCAUAGAUAUGUCACAGAACACCAAUUGCGAAGGCAGCUUACUAAAGUAUGAUUGACGCUGAGGCACGAAAGCGUGGGGAUCAAACAGG
rnacentral:rRNA from 1 species